rfam:Candidatus Methylomirabilis oxyfera complete genome.
CCGUGCUAGAUGGGGAGUUAGCGGUGCCCUGUACCCGCAAUCCGCUCUAGCGGGAUCGAAUUCCCGCCCGAGGUUUAAAGUUGUCGAGCAAUGGCCUGUGAUCGGUGUGAUGAUGGUUGGGUCCCACGCAAGGAGAGUUUGUGAACCCCGCCAGAUCCGGAAGGAAGCAACGGUAAACAGACAGGCUCCUGUGCCGCGGGGAAGCUCGGCCGGAGCCUCGAUCACACGCACAGCCCGGCAGCCGCGAUCGACGGCGGGUGCACGG